GGCACCAUAGUUGAACAACAACAUUAAACUGCAGAUUUAAAAGAGUACUAAUGAUACUGGUGCCU
rnacentral:tRNA from 1 species